UACAGAGGGGGCAAGCGUUAUUCGGAAUUAUUGGGCGUAAAGGGCGCGUAGGCGGCUAUUCAAGUGGCGGGUGAAAUCCCUCGGCUUAACCGAGGAACUGCCUGCCAGACUGGAUGGCUUGAGACCGGGAGAGGUGAGUGGAAUUCCCAGUGUAGCGGUGAAAUGCGUAGAUAUUGGGAGGAACACCAGUGGCGAAGGCGGCUCACUGGACCGGUACUGACGCUGAGGCGCGAAAGCUAGGGGAGCGAACGGG
rnacentral:rRNA from 1 species